rnacentral:rRNA from 1 species
AAUGAACGUUGGCGGCGUGGAUUAGGCAUGCGAGUCGUACGAGAACCCGCAAGGGGGAAAGUGGCGAACGGGGUAGUAAUGCGUAGGUGACGUGCCCUGCGGUCGGGGAUAGCUUAGGGAAACUUAAGGUAAUACCCGAUGACACCAUGCGGUUUGAAUACCAUAUGGUCAAAGGUGUGAUUCCACCACAGGAGCGGCUUGCGUGGUAUUAGCUAGUUGGUGAGGUAACGGCUCACCAAGGCAACGAUGCCUAGGGGAUGUUAGCGCAUGAUCCCCACCACUGGGACUGAGAUACUGCCAGACACCUACGGGUGGCUGCAGUCGAGAAUCUUCGG